rnacentral:rRNA from 1 species
GACGGGACCCGCACAAGCGGUGGAUGAUGUGGAUUAAUUCGAUGCAACGCGAAAAACCUUACCUACCCUUGACAUGUCCGGAAUCCUGCAGAGAUGCGGGAGUGCCCGAAAGGGAAUCGGAACACAGGUGCUGCAUGGCUGUCGUCAGCUCGUGUCGUGAGAUGUUGGGUUAAGUCCCGCAACGAGCGCAACCCUUAUCAUUAGUUGCUACGCAAGGGCACUCUAAUGAGACUGCCGGUGACAAGCCGGAGGAAGGUGGGGAUGACGUCAAGUCCUCAUGGCCCUUAUGGGUAGGGCUUCACACGUCAUACAAUGGUCGGUACAGAGGGUUGCCAAGCCGCGAGGUGGAGCCAAUCCCAGAAAGCCGAUCGUAGUCCGGAUUGUUCUCUGCAACUCGAGAGCAUGAAGUCGGAAUCGCUAGUAAUCGCGGAUCAGCAUGUCGCGGUGAAUACGUUCCCGGGCCUU